rnacentral:ncRNA from 1 species
GGAAAUGCGAAGACGGAGAAGAGUAGACGGAUUAAAGCAGUCAGAGAGAGAAACCCUUGGCUGAAAGGUUUCUUCUGCAUUUAACCGUUGAACGUCGCUCUUGAGCAGGUUGUCUGAAAGGUUGACGAAACCGUGUAAGAUAACCCGGUUCCAGCCGUUAUCUGGUCAGAGUGCACUAAUUUUUUAAUUAGUGAAUAAAGGUGGUACCGCGAAAAGACCUUUCGUCCUUUGU